rnacentral:rRNA from 1 species
AGAGUUUGAUCCUGGCUCAGGAUGAACGCUGGCGGCGUGCCUAACACAUGCAAGUCGAGCGCGAUUAGUUGGACUGGAGACUUCGGUCAAAGGGAAGAUUAUGAAAGCGGCGGACGGGUGAGUAACGCGUGAGCAACCUGCCCUGUACAGGGGGAUAGCCACUGGAAACGGUGAUUAAUACCCCAUAACCCCAAAGGACCGCAUGGUCCAAUGGGCAAAGUCCAAACGGUACAGGAUGGGCUCGCGUCUGAUUAGCUAGUUGGUGAGGUAAUGGCUCACCAAGGCGACGAUCAGUAGCCGACCUGAGAGGGUGAACGGCCACACUGGAACUGAGACACGGUCCAGACUCCUACGGGAGGCAGCAGUGGGGAAUAUUGCACAAUGGGCGCAAGCCUGAUGCAGCAACGCCGCGUGAGUGAAGAAGGCCUUCGGGUCGUAAAACUCUGUCCUAAGGGAAGAAGAAGUGACGGUACCUUAGGAGGAAGCCCCGGCUAACUCCGUGCCAGCAGCCGCGGUAAUACGGAGGGUGCAAGCGUUGUUCGGAAUUACUGGGCGUAAAGGGCGCGUAGGCGGCGCUGUAAGUCAGAUGUGAAAGUCCACGGCUCAACCGUGGAAGUGCAUCUGAUACUGCAGCGCUUGAGUAUCGGAGGGGAAAGUAGAAUUCCCGGUGUAGAGGUGAAAUUCGUAGAUAUCGGGAGGAAUACCGGUGGCGAAGGCGACUUUCUGGACGAAUACUGACGCUGAUGCGCGAAAGCGUGGGGAGCAAACAGGAUUAGAUACCCUGGUAGUCC